GAAGUCGUUACUCCAACCCUUGUGGAGGAGGACGUCGAAGGUGGGGCUGAUGACUGGGGUGAAGUCGUAACAAGGUAUCCGUACCGGAAGGUGCGGAUGGAUCACCUCCUAACAGGGAGACAAAACAAUGAUUUUGAUGUCUGAGUAUUUUAUACUUAGGCCGAAAUCCUGUCACCUUAGGUCGAUCGGUACCUCAACAUUUCUUCAAAGAUUGAUGAGCAAUCAUCGAGAGAUUGAAAGAGAUGUUCAGUUCCUAAACUUUGUCUAGGUCACACCCCGCAAGGGAAGAGUCCCCUGGGCCAUUAGCUCAGGUGGUUAGAGCGCACCCCUGAUAAGGGUGAGGUCCCUGGUUCAAGUCCAGGACGGCCCAUUCGGUGUUGGGGGUUUAGCUCAGUUGGUAGAGCGCCUGCUUUGCAAGCAGGAUGUCAGGAGUUCGAGUCUCCUAACCUCCACUGACCGAACUCAAUCUCCAUUGUCCGGUAACUCGGAGGAUGAACUCGAGUGAGUGUGAUUUAGAUGUGUCCACUAGAUUGGACCCCAGCUUCCUGUCAUUCCAAACAAGUUAGUAUUACUUGAAUGGCUGAUAAGAUGCUGGGCUCAGAUUAAUCGAAAGAUUAAUUUGAUGUCUAGUAGAACCUUGACAACUGCAUAGGUAAGUCUGGAAAAACAAAGCAUCUUACAGAUGCAUUGUUUUAAGUCUGAAUUCUCGAAAGGGAAUUUAGAACUAGAACAAUGAAAAUUCUUUUGAGCAAGAGCCGAGACUCUUAGAUGUUCUUUGAUUCGUGUCGAGCGAAUCAGAGUUUGAUUUUGUUUUUAUGAACAACGAAAGUUGUUGAUGAAACCAGAAGAAUCUGCUUUCAACCGCAGUAAGCGUUUAAGAGGUUAAUUGGUCAAGCUACAAAGGGCUCACGGCGGAUACCUUGGCACACAGAGGCGAUGAA
rnacentral:misc_RNA from 1 species